rnacentral:lncRNA from 1 species
CCCACCAGCAGCUUGCCCCAAGGAAGUUAGGUGUAGUGUAUUUAAAGAAUGGAAGCAACUGGUGCUUACCACCAGAGGCAAAUGCCAGCAACCUCCUUAAAGGAGCAGAAAAAUUAGCAUGCACCUACACAAAUUUAACAGGAAGAGGAACAGCAGUGAAAGGAUACACAGAAAUACAUGCUUAUGAACCUGGAAGCCACCUUAACAACACAUACGUGCGCUUACUUCAUGGUGUAGGAAACGCACUUGGGCACACUGAUUGCUGGAUCUGCACUCAUGGACCCAGCCAUGCAGCUGAGCCUUUCCCCAUGAGAUCCCACCCCUCAACGAUAAGCUGGUGGUCUCCGGAAACAAUAAUAAAAGCUUAUCAUACAGGUUACAAAACUGGAUGGGUGGCGGAAUGGAAUAGCACACAAGCCUCUAAGGGACAAGGUGCAGUAAACCUCUCGACCAUGAGNAUUAGUCGUGAACGGUUUGAAGUUACACCNUAUGGUAAAGCAAUUAUCUGUGUACAAAUGGAUUAUGACCGGGCAAACACAAAUAAUAUUUGGGUAGGGGAACAUAAAAAUUGUGUGUAUACGUUUAAGGUCAAAAGAAAUAGAACAGGUUUGUGGAAAGGAGGACGAUGGGAAGGAGUGCCAGNCCCAUUGCAGGCACCGGAUAAUUCAGAACCAGCAAAAGUUGGCAACCAGAAAAAGGGGGGUUCUCCUGGUUUGCCCUACUCUGACAUAUUUCCCUCCAGCCACCACACCAACAGAGGAAGGAGGCAAAUAAAUCCCCAAGAAACCCACAUCACCGAUUGGGUAGAUUCUGAGGAAAAUCGGAUACCUGUUUUCAAAAACCUGUCUUGUGGAAAUAACCAUUUCCGCAUUAUAAAACUGGAAAUGGAACCCCAACCACUUUAUGUGGUGGAGCAAGAAAUGUGGCCUGAUGAUUUCAUAUCUCAACCCACUUGCGAAGAAAUAACCAAAUGGUUGUUCUGGGAUGGUUCAGUAAGCAAAUACUGGACCCAGCCCUUAUAUUGGGUUGGUUUAAACAUAUUUCAUAGAAAAGGGUUUUUCAAAGGGCUUCCCUUUAGGUUCAAUUACCCUUCUCAAUUUGUUUUUGAACCAUCAGCUCUAAGUAUAGAAACAAAGGGAGUCUAUUGGUUGUGCGGAGCCUUUGCCUGGAAAGUAUUGCCUGAGGAAUGGGGAGGAACAUGCACCUUAGGAGGCAUUGGAAUGGGGGGUACUUUGAGGAAAUCAAUUNCCAACCCCCGGCAUCGGGAGCCCCGUGAAAUCACAAGAUGGGUCCAGUUUUGGGGACUCAUUUCACCUCGGUAUGGGGUUCAAGUGGCAUUCGCAGAAAUACGAAACAUCUCAG